rnacentral:lncRNA from 1 species
GUACAUCACAUGUAUCUUAACAGUUUUUAAGUACCUCAUGCACAUGACAGAUAUAUUAAAGUAUAUGACAAAUACAUGAAGGUACAUCACAGAACAUCAAGGUACAUGAUUGUUCCUCAGCUCGUACAAUUAAUAAGUAGCUCAUCAACGAUAAAUUACAUCACGGUACAUGAUAAAUACCUCCUCAAUUCUCAACGGAGAUAGAAAAAAAGAAGAAGAAAUAAUCGAAGUACCUCGUCAUAUGAAGACUUUGUACAUCAAUUCAUAGCACUACAUUGUGUACUAGAACAAAAUCACAGUACAAAUAAUCAACAAAACACGGUACCAAUCAUCUAACAUGGAAAAAAAGAAUCGACGCGGGGUAUAUCAUGUACCAAGACAAAAUCACAGUACGAACAAUCAUCAAAACACAGUACCUCAUGGAUCUAACAUAGAAAAAAGGAAUUGAAACGGGGUACAUCAUGUACCAGGACAAAAUCACAACACAAACAUUCAUAAAUACCAAUACCUCGUCAUGUACCAUGGGUACAUGAUGGUACUCGA